AGGUUUUAUUGACGACAUGAGGAAAAAACUAAGAAGUUCAAACUAGAAGUUCAGAAAAUCUGACCUUGAAUUUAAAUUUUCCAUGACAAAGCUCCCCAACUGCUCAGUUACUUACAUGAGGUCCUGGAAAGCCCAGCUCCUGGGUUUAGAUGCAGAUUCUCUGGCCAUUGAGCACAUCCAGGUGAGCAAAGCUCCCAAGAUGUGGCGAAGAACUUCGCGAGCUCAUGGGCGGACUAACCCAUGCACGAGCUCUCCCCCAUACUGAGGUGACCCUUUCUGAAAAAGAGCAGAUUGUUCCUAAACCAGAAGAGGAGGUUACACAGAAGGAAAAAGAUAUCCCAGAAGAAACAAAAAACUUAUGGCAUAAAAUAAAUAUUAAUAAAAGUUUAAAAAAAAAGGAAUAUAAUGAUUGUGAGCUGAGAUUGGUUUCAUCCACAUACACAGUGUCAGGUCAAACACAUACCUAUGGAUUCAACAAGCAUUUGGUGAAUGGGCGAAGAAUAAAUGAAUGAAUGAAUGAAUGAAAGAAAUACCUGAGGCUGCCUUGAUUCCUUCAGAGUUCUGGUGCAGGGUGACCAGGAUGUGGGCUGGGGGCCAGAUGAGCCAUCCAGAAAGAGGUCUGUCUUAUGGUCAGGUUUUUAAAUUCGUUGCAAAAAAGCAGAAGCAGAUACCUGCCUUUUGUGGGUCAGCGUUUGCUCCGCCUUGGAGUUCUGUGUGCAGGAGAUAGCGUGACCUUUAUUUCCCCUGUAUCUGAUCAAAGAGGCUUUCUGGUGAAUGUUCAAAGGACACAGAGACAAUAAACAUAUGUCUGGCCUCAGCAGGGAGGGGUUUCGGGUUGGAUCCUUUUCUCCAGUGUUAGUAGCGCCUGUGAUGGGGAAGGCACCACUACACCUUUGCCAAGUUUGAAGCCCCUCAUGUCGGGGUGCACCAGGCAGAGCCCUUG